CAGACCUCCCUGAACUCGUUGAAUUUCCUAAAAUUUCCUUCUUUUAGUUCCAAAUUUACAUUGAAAAAGAACCUGUAGGAGGAAAAAGGAAAAGGAACAAGUUUUGCCAAGGAGCUCAGGGUUGCAGACCUUCGCUUCAAGUCGUGGUUCACAAAUUUCCAAAAUCAAACUCGGUGCUCUCUCUAUUGAGCGUAAAAGGAGCGACUUUCCCCUGCCAAAGAUAUAGUAGCCCAACGAAUUCUUAUUCCAACUUUCAGCCAAGCUAAGGCUGCAGCAGUUUCGACUUUCAAUCAGAGGGUCUCUCAUGCAUUGUCGAAGGAAGAGCAAUCGUUCAAGUUGCCGAACCCCAACCCCGGGGAGUCGAGACGAACACUGCCUUUGUCCUGCCCCAGCAGUAAUCUUUCUCUCACCAUUACUUAGCCCCAGAUUCUUUCGACAUCCAUUUCUUCUUUCUUUCUCGUUCGUUCAACCACAAUCAGUGAUAACUAACUUCUGGGAUUGAAUGGAUGGUGGAUCUCUUGGUAGAAUACUUGGUUCUUGAUAUGGGUACAAGGACAUGCAGUCAAAGGAUUUUCCAUUUGUGUUGUUUUGAUGAUUGAAGAUAAUAGGGAAGACAACGGCAAAGCUAGUGGCUGUAGUGGAGGACACUGAAUGAUUGAAUGUGGCGGCGGUGAUGAACUGAUGAUUGGAACUGAUGAUUGGAGAUGGGAAGCGGCUUUUUUAUUUAUAAAAAAAAAAAAAAAGAAGGAAGGUUUAAGAGCGGGCAUGUUAGGAUAGUCAGUUGAAUAUUUUUGCUUACAUCUGCAAAUUGGGCUGUUUCUGUUACCAGAAACAUGAAAAUAGGUGUAAUUACUAUAAUUAGAGCUGAGGGGCACUGAGGUUUCUCAAAUUAUCCCUAAAGAGAAAAGAGAACGUAGAAGACCAUAGCAUCAAACCCCUCUACUUUACUCUAUAGUUAUUUGAUUUUAACACUCAAACAUUUGCUUCCUUCUUACUUGGAAAGCGUGCUGUCUUCUUAUACAUAGAAGUGACUUUGGAUAUAGUCCCUUGCAACCUCAGAUUCUUCUUCCAAUACUUGAGAUGAAAUGUGAGAAAGUGGUCUCAGGAGCACUAAAAUUUGAACAAUAAAAUGAUUUUAUAGAUGAGCCAAUUGGGACAAUCACAGGAUGAAAGUAUAGCUAUGUUGUUGCUAUCAUCAAAUGAAUAGACUGCAACAAAAAACCCAGACAAGUUCGAAAUGUUUCUCACAGUUCUGAGCAAAGUUUGUGUACACAAGGUUAUCUCCAAAGUGCACACUGUUGAGAAUAUAGCAACUCAACGUUAACUCCAAAAUGUAAACAAGAAAUAGGCUGGUACAGUUAAUUAAAGAGACCCCC